AAAAAAGGUAAACAUGAAUUAACAAUGGAAAGAUAUGAUUCCAGUGGGAUUUGGAGUUUUUGGAGGAAUAGGAGAAUCGAAUCAAAUCAUGGAAAUGAAUGAUGAAGGUCGAAAGGCAGCGCGUACCAAGAAGGUAGGGAGGAAACAUAUAAUUAAAAAAAGGAAAAAUGAAAUUUUUUAAAAAAUUUUUUUUAGGAAUUUUUUUUUUUCAUCUUUAAAUGCCGGCACAUGGGGUUGGAGACGCCGACAAAGAGCAGAGAGGAGCGUCGCCGCCUGUCAUCGCCUCGUCCUUCACGUGUGUCCCCCGGCCCGACCCCUUGUUUCCUUCUUACCCUCCCCUUUCUCGGGUUUCGGGUGCUCGCAGCGUCGCAGCCGGUGUUGGGUUUGGGUUUUGGUUGUGGUGAGAGAGAUCCUUCGGUUGAGGUAGUUUUGUUUGUUAGCAUACCCAAGGAAAGCAAAGGAUGGAAGGCAAGAAAACCACCGGUUCGAUUGCUGAUGAUCUUUUCGGCCGAAAGGAGGCGGCUUCCUCUCCCAAGUCCUCCUCAUCCUCUUCUGGCUACUUCAGCAGUGUCUUCCCUCCAGCCUCAUCGGUUAUGGCAAAGGAUUCAGCACGUUCUGACUUGUACCGGACAUUGGACAAGCAGAGAACUGAGGGUCGCAUUGGGAAUCCUCAGAGCUCCAGAGCAGACGACAAAUACCAUGGCAGCCCAAGCAAAAGCCAUACAAGCAACAAGGAUGGAAAAUCAGCUUAUCCUGCUGAAUCAAUAGAAUCGCCGUAUUUUGGCUCCUCUGUGCAUUAUGGUGGAAGAGAAUUUUAUAGCAGCUCUCCAUCCAUGCAAAGCUCUGGAGCUCCUAGUAGUUAUAAAAAGAAGGAUGAGGAUGAGUUGGAUGAUUCAAAUGUUGCUACCAGAGGUGAUUGGUGGCAAGGUUCACUUUACUAUUGAGGAUACUGUGUAGACCAGCAUGCUCUCCUUUUAGGUACUUCAGGGAGCUGUUGAAGAUAGAUGCUAUAUUGUACUCCAGCUGGUGGUGAAAGUUGCUUUGGUUCAUUAGCAGCAGCGAGAGUUUAGACGAACCAAGCAGCCAGUUUUUUUUUUUCUGUUUAUAGCUUAGGGUAGCAAGCAGUAGGUGCUGUUCAUACUUAGUGAAACAGCAGACCCUAUCUUUGGAUAGGUUUACUUGUUUUGGACUUCAGUAUCCUCUCAGAUAACUAUACUAGUCCUUCACCUCCAGCCUCUGUGUAGUGAGGAUAAAAGGACACUUAAUUAUGUAUGCUUUUAAUAUAUAUACAUAUAAUACUAAGUAGGUGUCCAUAAGUUGAUUUUGUUGUGUGGCCUGUUCUAAGAAAAUUAGUCUAACUUGAUGUGUCUAUGAAUCAGUGGCUUAUAACUAUACUAGGUUUUUAUUGAUUUAAUUAAAAAGAGGAAAUAUGUGUGCCUCCUUUACCCUCCGCA